rnacentral:lncRNA from 1 species
UCACAAUGAUAUCAUCAUAGUAUAGCUCAAUGUAAAUGUCAUCAUGACAUCACUUGUUACAUAAUCAUGACAUCAUGUCAACUUGACUGUGUUGAAUCCAAAUUUGAACAAAACUCCGAAAAAUUUAAGUAUAUAUUUUUAUUGUGAUUCCAAAAUGUUCCUAUUCUCUGUAGCAAUCUUGACCCAGAGUAGCUUAUAUUACCCAUGGGAUCAAGAGAAAUUGCUGUGUGAUGUUUGGUUCCUGAAGGUCAACAAGCCUGUGUGGAGCAGACAAAUAUGGCAAACAUUGCAUUUAAUAUAUAUCAGUGAUGGGCAAACUAUGGCCUGCCACAGUGAUGUGUGCAGCCUGUGUGCGUAAGAUUUUUUUUUUUUAAUUUUACCAUAAAAGUGUUAAAUUAUAUAAAUAAGCAACAUAAUUAAUUAAUUAA